rnacentral:lncRNA from 1 species
CUCAUCAGUAGUGAUCAUGUCCUUAGUGCUGUCAGGUGUCAGGGCCAUGUCAAGAGUGGAGGUCUGGGUAAUGGAGUCUGACGUGUGAACAUCUAUCAUGGUCUCCGAUGAGACCGUGGAGAUCUGGCUCUGAGAGGUGGCAGUGGUCUGUGAGUCUGUGUUCAUAUCUGUUGUCUGUGUUUCCAUCUGUGCGUGUGUCGAAGUGUUGGUAGAGGAUGGCUUUCUCUCUGUCCUAGUUGCCAUAGACGAGGUGGUCAGAGGGACUCCAGGUAGCUGCCACUCCAGCGGGAGGAUGGCCAGGCUCCUAGCCAGGGAAAACUGAGAGAGGGAGCUCUACACGGAGGAAAAGGGUGGUUAGGUUGAGGUCAUAGGGGAAAUUGUCUAGAUGUUUGAAUCUUUGUCUGUCCGUAUAGUAAUUUAGUUUUCAGUAACUUACGUGGGCACGUGGUAGAGUCGGAGAGUCAGGUCUUAUGUAAAUUUCCUCCACAGGGGUCUUCACUUGCCGGGGUGUCAUUCGAUUUUCCUGCAUGACACAAUUGUAACACCCAAUGAUGACAGCAUUAUGGGAAAGAUCUGCUCACAAUAAAAUAUGAUAUAGCAUGUUUGGUUGUCUCACAGAGUUAGGUCUUUGUCCCGAAUUAGUUCCCUUGUCUGUUUCUGGUGUUGUACUUAUGGGUUUGUGGUCUUGAGAUGAUUUCAACAGCUGAACUUCAGUCUGGUCUUUCUCCCUCCCCACCUUUCCCUUACUCUUGUCCUUUACCCUUUUGGUUGUAACAUCACCUCCAGACAAGUCCGAGCCUGUGUAGAUUAGACAUUUUGAUUUUGAAGACACUUUCUUCCAAGUGGAGCCAAUCUCAAUCUAUAUCUAAUCAACAGACACCCCAUAACACUCACCAGUAUCAGAUGCAUUAUCUUUGUCCUGGUCCUUUCUAUUCUGUCUGUUCUGAGAGGGACGAGUCUUCCUCAGCUUGACUUUCCCACCACAGCAGAAGAGAGUGAACAGCUGCAGGGCCGCCACAGCUGGAUGGAUGCUCUUCUUCUCUUUCUGCUGGGUCUCCUUUGCUUUCUCCUUGGGGGAGACCUCAGUGUCGCAAUCAGUACAUCAGUUAGAAAUCUACUGAUAUUUCAAACUACAAUAUCAAUGUUGAAUAUAUGUAGCCAAUGAGCUCUAGCUUGAUUGGCAGCAAAUAUUAUUUCCUAAGUGUGUUUCCAUGUCAUAAUGUUACCCCAUAAUAACUAGGGUUAGUGCUGUCCGUGAUCCUUGGGACGUCCCUACCCUAAACCCUAACCUUAACCCCUACCUUAACCUUAACCCUUACCUUAACCAUUUCAAUUUCAAACGUCAAAGGUCAGAGUUGACUUUUCCUAAUAACUAUUAGGGGCUAUCCCAUCCGAAGGGGCAUUGUGACAUUAUCACAUUUGUCAAGCCUUGUCAAAGGAUUAAAAUCAACACAAUAUGCUGUGUUUUCCUUAUUGUGGUCAUUAUCAGCUGUCAAAUGCAUUGGUAAAUCCUCAUUAAUAAGCACAUUUUGAUGUCUUACCGAGUUAGGUCUUUGUUUAAUGUAUUUUUCUUUUUCCGGUGUGGUUCUGCAUUUGUGGUCCUGAGAUUCAAUGCAAUGUUUCUCUCCCCCAACCUUUCCUUUACUCUUGUCCUUGAUCCUUUUCACGUCACCUGCAGAG